GCUUAUUCAUCUUGUGAGAGUCUUGCUGUUUAGCCCAGGCUGGCUGAUGCUUACUCACCUUGUGACAGAGGCUUGCUGUUUAGCCCAGGCUGGAGAGAUACUUACCAUUCUCCAGCUGUAGCCUCCUGAGUACUGAGCUCAUACGUAGCAGGAGACUAUCUCAGUCUAUUAACAGUGAUAUAGGAUGGAGCCUGGGUGGCUUCCGUAGUCCUCAGAAUUUUUCUGCUCACUGCAUGAGUCUUUUUUUUUUUUUUAGAUUUUAAAGAUUUAUUCAUUUAUUAUAUAUGAGUACACUGUAGUGUCUUCAGACACACCAGAAGAGGGUAUCAGAUCCCAUUAGAGAUGGUUGUGAGUCACCAUAGUUGCUGGGAAUUGAACUCAGGACCUCUGAAAGAGCAGUCAGUGCUCCCAACCACUUAGCCAUCUCUCCAGCCUUGCAUGUGAGUUUUUAUUCCUUUCCCUCUCUCUUAUUUUCUUCCUCCCUUUCCUCUGUCUCCCCAAUAAUUUCUUCGUCUUCUCGUCCAUCUUCUCUUUCAUUACUCUUUCCCUCCUUGUCCAACGUCUGACUUUCCUUCUUCUCUCUGCCCUUCAUCCCCUCUUUGUCUCUGUCCAUCUGCCUCCCUUCCAAGCCUUCGUUCGUUCCUGUCUUCUCUUUCCAGGAGGAGCAAGCACACUGCUGUCUGACGCAGAGGCAGCAUGAAGCCAGUGAGAAGCUGUGUGAACUCAGAUGGCCUGGACACAUCGCUAUCUGUCUGGCCCCUGGAUUGUAAAAUGAAGUAAUACCAUCUGUUUCCAAGAGUUAUGAAAUUAAAUUCUAUUUGUAUAAAAGCACCAAGUGCUGGCCGUCGCUGUCUCUACCAAUGGCAGCUUCUUUCCUCACUUCAGGGGACUCUGCAUGAGAGCGCUUGCCACAUGUCCCUGAGCCUCUGAAGACACAUUGGUGCUGAAGCUGGGUAGGUUUUCUGACAAGCCUUUGAAGGAACCAGGACACCAGUGCCUCCAGCUCACCGCUCUGAUCCUUGAGGUAAUCUAUCACUGUGAUACUGCCCAUGGAUCUGAGGCUAUAGCCUACACUGUGGCCACACAGGCUGCAGGAUACACACAAGGCUCUAGCACUUGCUUAAGCUUGCUUGUCCCCACGGAUGAUAUCCAAAAUUACUGCGGAGGUGUCAACAAAUUCUGGAAACCUUGGCUGUGUCAACGUCAUUUGACAGUGGUGGGAACACACAAGAGGGCAGGGGGAUCUCUGACCUUGAGGGAACCUGGGAGCCUGGGACAGUAGUUACUUAAAUUUAUCAGCGAG
rnacentral:lncRNA from 1 species